rfam:Schistosoma curassoni strain Dakar, Senegal genome assembly, scaffold: SCTD_scaffold0008537
AUCCAACUGACGAGUUCCAAAUAGGACGAACCACACGUCCUGGAU